UGGGCGUAAGCGCGCGCAGGCGGUUUCUUAAGUCUGAUGUGAAAGCCCACGGCUCAACCGUGGAGGGUCAUUGGAAACUGGGGAACUUGAGUGCAGAAGAGAAAAGCGGAAUUCCACGUGUAGCGGUGAAAUGCGUAGAGAUGUGGAGGAACACCAGUGGCGAAGGCGGCUUUUUGGUCUGUAACUGACGCUGAGGCGCGAAAGCGUGGGGAGCGAACAGGAUUAGAUACCCUGGUAGUCCACGCC
rnacentral:rRNA from 1 species